rnacentral:misc_RNA from 1 species
UUUCCGUAGGUGAACCUGCGGAAGGAUCAUUAAUGAGUUGUAAAGGGGUUCGACGUUGGCAGACAAUUUUUCGAUUCAUGUGCUCGCCCUAACAACCGUCUUCCAAACACCUGUGCACAUUUAAGCGGGAGUCUUGACUUGGUUGCCGCUUUUGGGUGAUUAUCUAACAUUCAAUACAAUCAUUAACCGCUAUUAACGAUGUUGAACGUGUUCUGUGCCCAAAGGCUAGUAAUAUAACACAACUUUUAACAACGGAUCUCUUGGCUUUCGGAACGAUGG